GUAAUGAUGGUAAUGGGAAAAGCAUCAGCUAAAUUUGGUUAUUUCUGCAUAUCCAAAUUGCAACCGAAUGUGCAGUUUGCAUAUUUGCUAAAGACAAAUAUGGCUUGAAUUUUAUCAUAACCAGCGAAGCCUAAAUAAAAUAUGAGAUUUGCACAGUAUUCAAAUAUCAGGACUUAUAAUAUAUAAAAUAUCACCAUGUGUUCAACAUGUAGAUCAGGGUCUUCCACCUAAAUAUGGUACAUUAAAAUAGUAUUGGGAAAACCGUGUUACAAGAGGAGAUUUUGAUGAAUCUGUAGCACUGGGGUGUAACAUGUUUGAAGGGACACUAUUGUCACCAAAACAACUUUAUCUUAAUGAAGCAGUUUGGGUGUAGAGAGCAUGCCCCUCCAGUCUUACUGCUCAAUUCUCUGCCAUUUAGAAGAAUUGGGCAAUGAGCCUGCAGGGGCAUGAUCACUUAAACUGUUUCAUUAAGCUAACAUUG